CUUUCUUUGCUGGCGACCGGCGCACGGGUGAGUAACACGUAUCCAACCUGCCCUUUACUCGGGGAUAGCCUUUCGAAAGAAAGAUUAAUACCCGAUGGCAUAAUGAUUCCGCAUGGUUUCAUUAUUAAAGGAUUCCGGUAAAGGAUGGGGAUGCGUUCCAUCAGGUUGUUGGUGAGGUAACGGCCCACCAAGCCUUCGAUGGAUAGGGGUUCUGAGAGGAAGGUCCCCCACAUUGGAACUGAGACACGGUCCAA
rnacentral:rRNA from 1 species